GGUUGAUUGAAUAUUCAAUCUUCUCUAACCUGUAAUCCUAAAUUUAAAAUUGGGUGAAUUGAUUGAACCACCAUCACCAUCACCAUCACCAAGCGUCCUCUGCUUUCUACACCACUACCAUAAAAUCACCAUUAGAGGAUUAUAAUGCUGGAAUGUCAUUAUACGGAGACAAGGAGAAAACCAAAACUUAUGCCGCUCAUUUUGAAUCUUAUGAUGGGUAUGUCAACUUGGAUCUCCAAUUGCUUGUGCCACAAUUGAUUGUGCCAUGUAAUGAUGUCUAAAGUAUUAUUGGACCAUGAUUUAUUGAAAUGGCAGAUUAUGUCAACUUAUCAGUGAGUCUCACUCCCAUUCGGGAUGAUAAAUACUAGUCAUGUGCCCUGUAACUGAAAAUAAAUAAAGGGCGUAAUGUUGUAUCAUUUUCAAUGUUCGUUCUGUUCAACUCAUAUUACACUUUGUUGAUUUCUGUAAGUAUGAAGUUGUAAGUGUUCUCACUAGUGCAACUAAUUCGCUCAAGGUCACUUUUUUAGA